GCCCUACACUUGGCAGCAAAGCAUUGGCACCUGGGCAACGUAGGCCUACGAGUGCUCCUCAAGGUCAAACUUAGAUGCUGAGGACCAUAAUCUCAGCCGUGGUACUCUUGCAGGUUGGGUUUGUUCAGGCGGUUGGAGUCAUCCAGCUGCACGCACACACAGCGAGAGCGGCUGGACCCGGGGGAGAAGAGCUUCCUUGUGAAUCACCACCUCUUUUGGGAGCACCAGACGCGCCCCCCCGAGGAGCUCCACUCUGUGUUGCAGGCUGGGUACUGCUGGCUGUGGGCCUGAGC